AUAUGUCGUACCGUUGACUGAACAUUACGCGAAUAUUAACGCGAAUAUUUUAUUGUAUUAUUCGGGUUUUUUGCUUCGUGUGUGACGUGAUAUUAAUAUUAAAGUUAUGCUUACAGUGAACACGUGUUCUGACGAUUGACAGUGUCAAUGAAUAACGAGUCUAAACAAUGAAAUGCAUGCAAUUUCGUCGAAACGUGUAUCCAGUGUAACAAUAGCUUGAUAUCGCUUCACCUUGUGAUCUCGUAAGUGAAUAAAAUACCUAACAAUAAUUGUGAUCAUGUAAGAAACAGUAGAUAAAACGGAUUUUUUAAUCGCAAACAUCGGUCACGGCGACCAUAUUUGUGUUUCUCACGACUCGGUCACGAAGUGACUUGCAAACGUCGCGUUACAAGUGCACUCGUUGGUGGUUCAAUAGUGUAACGCCUUUUUAGCCGACCUACCUUGGGAUGGAUGAAUGUUUAUCCGCGUGUUGAACCGUGCUGGAAACUCUCGUUCGACCUCCACUCCUGGAGCCACUUGAGGGUGCUGCGCCUACCGAAGAAUGGAACACCGACGAAGGAAUCUCUGAAAGGAUGAAGAACUCUAAAUUUGAGCCAAUAGUCGGAGAACGUGGUGGGCGGCGUGCUGAGUUCCAGAUUCACAAUGGUCAAGAUAUGUAUAUCCGAGUACGAGGUAUCUGUACAAGGAUUUGACGUGUCCAGGUGUCCCGUUGUGUACGCGUCUCGCACGCCGCUACACAUGUAAGCAUAUAAUUUUUCAACGAAAUCAUCGAGAUACAUCUAUUAUAUCGUAUAUAAUCUGAAACUAAUCUUCGUGUAUCGUGUGUGCGAUACUCUAUUUAAAGUCACUUGAAGCUAUGCGAUACUAUUUGAUUUGUUUCAAAACAUUCAAAAAUAUUAGUUAUCGCUCGUAACAAUGUCGUAAAUUUAGCGUCUAAUGUUUAAUUCAAACAAAUUCAGUCUCCUUACGCUGAACAAAAAUAUCCGAAUAAAAUAUCUGAUAACAAGUGACCGAACUUGACGAUAUAUAUUUCAUCCGACGACAUAUAUUAACAACUUAAUGCAGAGAAUAUCGCUUUUUUAAAUACAUUUAUCGUAAAAUGUCAGAUGAAAGGAAAAGUUUUAAAUCAAGCAAAAAAUAUUUGCGUCCAGACACGCCAUAAAACUUAAGAAAUGGAGAAUUGGCCAAUAUUUUCGAAACAAGCCAGCACGGUAUGUUCGCGUCCCUAGAAUGAAUCAAAAAGUAAAGUAGCCACCAUUGAACGGAUUAAACUUGUGUUGCAAGAAAGCGAAGCGGAGAUUUACGGUAGCACGAAAGGAGGCCGGCCCUUAAUCAGGGCAAAGCAGCCACGUGAGAUCGCCGGCCGGAGGCCAUGCGUCAUUGGAUUAAGAUUGUAUCCAAAUUAUUCAUCCGGUAGACGUCGCGCGUGUAAGAUAGCAAGAGGAACGGGAGCCGGGUACGCGCGAAGGCGUUGCUUCGCGGUAAGCGAUAGCACCGUCUGAUAUAUGGGGACCACACAAACCGUGUAACGGGAACUUAAAUCAGAAUUAAUAGCGCCCUUCGCGGGACGUUUUCAGUCCUCCGCGCGUUUACGCGGCCUCGAUAAACUAAAAUAUAGUAACGAACAAAAGUAUCGACGCAAAUCAGGUUUUCGUGUAAAAUCCUGGACAAAUCCGUAAAAUAUACGAUUCUUUAUUCAAACUUUGUACAAAAUAUAACCUUCGAGUCUGAAAUUUAAACGUGUCGUAAUUAAACGGCAAAUCUUUAUGCAAAUUUAUGAAUUUCUAAAGAAACAAGAACCGUAAGUUCUAAAUCGACCGACAUGAAAAUAAAAAAAUGGAUACGAGAACGAUAUAAGAACCGGAUUACGACGGAAAUGCGAGAAAACUUUCAAUUUUCUAUAAUAAUCGUUCGGAGUAAGAAUUCCGUAUAAUCGUAAUUGUCUCGAAGGACUAACUUUGUCGCUGUAACCAUUUUCAAUACCUUUUUUCGUCUAUAUAGCUAUAUAGCUAUAGGCGAAAGGAUAAACGCCAGAAAACGCAGCCAAGGAAAAUUUAAGAAACGAAACGAAAGAGGAAAGAAGAAGCGAUGCGAGAUUAAAGUCUCGAGAAGUUGACGCAGCAUUCUCGAGUAAUAUCGCGCGCGUUCCACGAUGAUUUAACACCGCCCACGAUCCCAUAAUUCGUAACUGAACAGCUGUUUUCCCGAGUACCGAUUAACGGAGCUGUGUAUCCUUACGAGAAAAUUACAAACGACCGAAUGUUAGCUAAACGAUCAGCGUGGCCGCGGGAAAAUGAUCCGUGGCCAGGAUGCUUGUGUCGAAGCAAAUCGCCACUUUCCUCGUUCGACGUGGGGGGAAGAUCAUAAGGAUUAGAUUAUAACGAUUCUAGUUGUCGAAGAGAAGUCACGAUCGCCUGCCGGAAGCACGAGAACCGUACUUCGCGAUGAAGUCAGGUUCUCGAUAGAAAUAAAUCGAAAUAUUAUAAAUUGCCUAAAUGGUAAUUAUCUAAUGAUUGUCUGAAUGCUGAUAUAACAGCUGUUUAUCUGAAAUUGAAGACGAUGCGUCUUUAUCUUAUUACAUAAACUGGGUACUAUUAUACGAAGAGACUCUGAGAGAGGGAAGGUUAAGAGGAACUUCAUUUUACUAUGAGAAGCAUCUGAACGAUUGAAACUGUACAUCGCUAGACGAACAAGUCCCGGAUAUUUAUUCUAGAUAUUCGGAAACUAUAAACAGUUUAAAUAUACGAAAACGUUGAAUGUAUAAAAAUCUGCUACCUAAAUAUCUUCAGAAGCACGAUAUAACUUUGCCUAGAAAUUCAAAACAUAGUCUGCUACCUUACGAUGGGAUUAUUUCUUCGUGCAGUUAAGCACGGUGGCUCUGGGUAUUGACCUUAUUUUACAACACUCGAGAGAAUACGAAAGAAGCAAAGAGCAUUUGCAAUAGCGAGUAAGAACUCACUCGAGAAGAUCGAGUUCCAAAUAGAUUUUUUUUACGACGAUAUUUUAAUCUAAAUGGUAGUACUACGAAGUACUGUGAAAAUAUAGACCGUUCGUAACUAUAGCGAUGCAGAAAGAACGAACAAAGAUUCGAUCCAUUUCCACGAAGAGCUAAAGUCGAAGAAGAGAAAAGGCCAGGUACCAGCAAACGUUGAAAAACCUUGCGCGUUACGCAAGUUCGCAAAGCUUCCGAAACGUCAACGUGGAAGGAGAUGGAAGUCGGGAUGCGUGGAUGCAAAGUACCGAAGCAAAAACAAAGCGGACAGCGAGAAGGUUGCGCAGGCCUCGAGAAAGGGACGAGGAAGAAGGAAGUGGACACCGGUGAGUCUUCCGUGGAGUGCGGCGAGAGAGAUUUCCUCGAGCGCGGUGAACGUAAACCGAUCCGCUCGAGAUGGGAGCAAAUGACAACGCGUGCUUUGCAUGUCGAGGGCCCUUCUAGCGGAUACCGCGAGUAAAUAAGGCGGAAUCUGCACGUCGCAUUGUUUGACUUUCCGGACGGGCGUCUAGGGCGACGACGGUAAAGGGGCCGACUCCGCGCGCACGACAAGACCGCGAACAGAAAAGACGAUCCUCGGCUGAUUUGCCAGAACCCUUCUUGGAAAAGUCGCUAGAGCCGAGCUUCGUUCCACCGUCCAGGUUACCGUUACCACGCCGGACGACCACGGAUUUUUCCUCCCACGGCGAUUAAUCUUCGAUCAAUCUCGGAAUUCUGAAGUCGUUACUUCUCCACAGCGAUUACACGAUUCGUUUCUUCUUAUGGAUUUAGUACUUAGAGGCUCCGGUUGAAUUUUCAAGCUGCGAGCAAAUGUUUAUGGUAAUAAUUACACGGAAACGAGAAAAAUUGAAAAAGUUUUUUAUAAUAACGUUGAUAGAAUUCAAGACUGGUUUCUUGGAAUAUUAAGAAACUUACGGAGACAACUUAUCGCGCGUGUAGACUAAUGUCACUGUCGUUUUGUAAAAUUGUCGAUUGAGCGGGAAAUGUGUUCGUGUUUCGCUCGACAGAUUUACAGUUUGUUGGUUAUGUAGGAAUAAAAUUGUUGCGUGCUAAAGUGGUAACGUAUACUUACUAAUUGUGAGAUACUGCUAUCGGUGUUCGGCUGACUCGGAUGCCCGGUAAAGCUCGAUCGAGCGGAAACCACGUUCAUACGGCAGGUGCAAACGAAACUUUACCGAUACCCGUGUAAUUUCACGAAUCUCUAAUUCUGCUAUACCUUUUUCAUUCAAUUUACAUGUUUGAAACUAUCAAACUUUCGAAGAAAUAUAACAAUUUUAUAGACGUCCAAA